AACGAACGCUGGCGGCAGGCUUAACACAUGCAAGUCGAGCGACCCGCAAGGGGAGCGGCAGACGGGUGAGUAACGCGUGGGAAUCUACCCAUCACUACGGAAUAACGCAUGGAAACGCGUGCUAAUACCGUAUACGUCCUUCGGGAGAAAGAUGUAUCGGAGCUGGGAUGAGCCCGCGUUGGAUUAGCUAGUUGGGGGGGGAAAGGCCCACCAAGGCGACGAUGCAUAGCUGGUCUGAGAGGAUGAUCAGCCACACUGGGACUGAGACACGGCCCAGACUCCUACGGGAGGCAGCAGUGGGGAAUAUUGGACAAUGGGCGAAAGCCUGAUCCAGCCAUGCCGCGUGAGUGAUGAAGGCCCUAGGGUUGUAAAGCUCUUUCACCGGUGAAGAUAAUGACGGUAACCAGAGAAGAAGCCCCGGCUAACUUCGUGCCAGCCGCCGCUGUAAAAC
rnacentral:rRNA from 1 species